AUACUUACCUGGACGGGGUCAAUGGGCGAUCAAUAAGGCCCAUGGCCUAGGUUGAUGACUUCCAUUGCACUUUGGAAGGGUGUUAACUUAAGGUCUACCUUAUAGGUGGAGCCUACGUCAUAAUUUGUGAUAGAGGGGGCCUGCGUUCGCGCGGCCCCUG
rnacentral:snRNA from 1 species